rnacentral:rRNA from 1 species
AGUGAACGCUGGCGGUAGGCCUAACACAUGCAAGUCGAACGGCAGCACAGUAAGAGCUUGCUCUUACGGGUGGCGAGUGGCGGACGGGUGAGGAAUACAUCGGAAUCUACUUUUUGUGGGGGGUUACCUAAGGAAACCUACGCCUAUACCCCAUACGAACUACGGGUGAAAACCAGGGGUCAUCCGACCCUGCGCGAUUUAAUUAGCCGAUGUCGGAUUAGCUAGUUGGCGGGGUAAAGGCCCACCAAGGCGACGAUCCGUAUUUGGUCCGAGAGGAUGAUCAGCCACACUGGAACUGAGACACGGUCCAGACUCCUAAGGGAGGCAGCAGUGGGGAAUAUUGGACAAAGGGCGCAAGCCUGAUCCAGCCAUACCGCGUGGGUGAAGAAGGCCUUCGGGUUGUAAAGCCCUUUUGUUGGGAAAGAAAAGCAGCAGGUUAAUACCCCGCUGCUCUGACGGUACCCAAAGAAUAAGCACCGGCUAACUUCGUG